CAGCAGCCACGGGAAUACGGAGGGUGCAAGCGUUAUCCGGAUUUAUUGGGUUUAAAGGGUCCGUAGGCGGACUUAUAAGUCAGUGGUGAAAGCCUGUCGCUUAACGAUAGAACUGCCAUUGAUACUGUAAGUCUUGAGUAUAUUUGAGGUAGCUGGAAUAAGUAGUGUAGCGGUGAAAUGCAUAGAUAUUACUUAGAACACCAAUUGCGAAGGCAGGUUACCAAGAUAUAACUGACGCUGAGGGACGAAAGCGUGGGUAGCGAACAGGAUUAGAUACCCGCGUAGUCCCUGUCUCUUAUAA
rnacentral:rRNA from 1 species